ACAGCCAUACCAUGCUGAAUAUACCGUUUCACCGAAGUCAAGCAUCAUUGGGCGCUGUCAGUACUUGGGUGGGUGACCACCUGGAAACGCCGCGUGCCGUU